rnacentral:rRNA from 1 species
AAACCAACCUUUAUAAUAAAAUCAAAAGGAGUUAGUUUUACUAGGUCUUUAUUAAAAGUAACCAUAUUAAUCUAAUUUUAAUUGAAGCUUGGCUCUGACUUUAUAGCAUAGUAAAGACUAAAGAAUACACAUGGUCUCUAUUGAGAGGGGCGAGAAAAGGGGAAAGACUGUUUAAAUACAUAAAGUAAAAAGUAGUUUUCCUUAAGAAUAUUAUUAUCUACAAAAUGUUCUGAGUGUUCCGCUAACACCAGUGAUUAAGGUUAAGAUAAAAGCGAAAGCUUGUAUUAGUUUAGUAAUUAGGUCUGGUUAACUUGGUGCCAGCAUCCGCGGUUAGACCAAGAGAUCAAGCUAUGUAUAUCAAGGUAAAAAGGCAGUUAGAUAAGAAAUAUUAUCGGUUUACUCAUUCUUUAUAUAAAGGUAAAAUUUAGAUAUAAAUAAAUAAUUUAAUGUAAACUUGUAUAAAUUGAAUCUGCGACAGCCUUGAGGGAAACUGGGAUUAGAUACCCCAUUAUUCUUGGUCAUAAAUGAAUAAUGAUUUACCAGAGUACUAUGAAUCUUUAAUAAAAUUUAAAACUCAAAGGGCUUGGCGGUGUUUUAGACCUCUCAGGGGAACCUGUCUCAUAAUCGACAAUCCACGUUAAACCUAACCUCUAUUUGCAAUUCAGUUUGUAUACCGUCGUCGUCAGGUAACUUUUAAAAAAUAAGAAGUUGGCAACAAAAUUAGAUAAAUUUAGACGUCAGAUCAAGGUGCAGCCUACAUAGAGGUGAGGAUGGGUUACAAUUAAAACUUAUAAUUACGAAUAGGGUAACGAAACAUUUGCCCUAAUGAAGGAGGACUUGAAAGUAAAAAUAGAUCUAUAUAAACAACUUGAAUAAGGCUCUGAAACGUGCACACAUCGCCCGUCGCUCUCAUUGAAAAACGAGAUAAGUCGUAACAUAGUAGGGGUAAUGGAAAUUGUUCCUGGAUG